CGGUCCCCAUCACUGCUCGGACCUCGGCAUCGCCGUUCCCGCCCCAACUCUUCCUUCUCCAAGAACUGGAGAAUGGCGUGAAAUCGUAAUCCAUUAGCCGCUCCCACCCCUCUAGAUGGCUAUAAAACCCUAGCACCCGCUUCCUUUUCUCCAUCAUCUUGCUCUUCCCCCAACCCCCCCACUUCCAACCCCUCCUUCUCUGCGAAAGCCCUAACUUCUCGACUCUCCCCUUCCUCACGGCCUGCGCUCGCCCUCGCCUACCUCCUCUAGCCUUCGCUCGCUCUCGACAAUGGCGCUGCCACCCAAAGUGAUCGUGGAGCACGCGAAAUCCGGUCACCCGUCUUGCAAGAACUGCAAGAAGGCCAUCGGGCGGGUUCCGGGGCCCCCCAUCACCGCUCCGACAUUGACAUCGCCAUUCCCGCCCCAACUCUUCCUUCUCCAAGAACCGGAGAAUGGCGUGAAAUCGUAAUCCAUUAGCCGCUCCACCCCCCUAGAUGGCUAUAAAACCCUAGCACCCGCCUCCUUCUCUCCAUGCUCUUGCUCUGCCCCCAACCCCCCCGCCUCCAGCCUCUCCCUUCCCUGCGAAAGCCCUAACUUCUCGACUCUCCCCUUCCUCACGGCCCGCGCUCGCCCUCGCCUACCUGCUCUAGCCUUCACUCGCUGUCGACAAGGGCGCCGCCACCCAAAGUGGUCGUGGAGCACGCGAAAUCCGGUCUCUCGUCUUGCAAGAACUGCAAGAAGGCCAUCGGGGCGGGUUCUUACAGGCCGGGCUUGUCGAGAGAAAGCCCUCGGUGGUUUGACCUCGUGAAAUAGUAUCAUUUGGAUUGCUUUCCGACUCGGGAUGCCCUCUCGCUGCCACGGAGAAGAUGUGGGGGUUUUCUUUUUUGAAGAGUUGUGAUCAGGAUGCCUUAAAGAAGCUAAAGGUUGUCGCAUCAUCCGAGUAAACCGUUAAUGAGGUCUGAAUUUUUAUCUCUGUUUCAAAGUGUUAGUCCUUUCAUUGUAGUUUCUGUAUUUUGGUAUGUUUUGAUCUCGUUGAAACGUGGAAACUUUGAUUUCUUUGAUCAAGAAGCAUUGCUUUCUGCACAAAAAGAAAAUGGUCUGAAGAAAGAAUUCGGGUUGGUGUACAGUCUCACUUGUACCUCCUUGAUUAACAGAAGGAGAGGCCUAUUAUCUGUUUCUUGGUUAAAAAGGAGUUUACCAACGAUCAGAGUAAAGAUGGUAGGAAGAAGGCACCGAUGCCGCCUGUAUGUGAUUUUCCGCAAAAAAAAAUGGUUUUUUUUAUGUGGAGGCCUUUUGUACAUCAAGAUCCUCGAGAGCCAUGGAAGAGAGUUUCGUUCUUGGAUUUAAAGAGAUUCAAAACAUUGACGGCUACCAAUUUCCUUUGAUGUUUAGUGCAGUUACAGUAUUUAUUGGUUAUAUCAUGUCUGAAAUUGUCAAGUUUUGUGAAUCUGGUUAAAAAUAUUCUUUGUGUCAAUGUGAAGGUACUGUAGCCUGUAGGUUAUAUCUUGCUUCCUGUUAUUCUCUCCAUUUUAACUGAGGAAAACCAAGAUAUUGCUCCAUAGGCGCAGAUAUAUUGCUAUAUAAUGUUCUUGUAUGUUCUUUAUUUGCUUGUUGCUUUUGUAUUGCAUGGCAAAUGUCAGUAGCAUGGUACAAUGGAGAUUGAUAGAAGCAUAAGUGUCUGGAGGUGUGGUUAGUUGUCGAUUAUAUUCAUAUGAUGUAUUAGGCUCAUUUAGCUUAAUUUUAUUGGUUUUUGGGGUUGGUAAAGUAGAACAAACUUCAGACUGGAGACAUUCUUUUUAGAAAAGGAUGGGCUGUGAGUUCGGGUUGCCCUUUGUGUGGAGCAAACGUAUAUAUUGUUUCCUAUCUUUUCAUCAAGUGUCCCUUCACAAAAAACAUCUAGUUUGCACUGAAGUUGUGCCUAAAAAUUCAAGGUUGGCCACCCAACUUGAAAGACUUGUGGACUUCUUGGAGGAGUAAAAAGAUACAUAAAUUGUUCAGGAGAGUCUUGCAUAGAACCGCUCUAAUUGAAGAUUGCUUUUGUAGGAAGAUUCUAGAGUUUCUCUCACACCAAAUUUGCCAGAAAUAGAGUGAUGAUAAGUUGAUUCCAACUCCUAUCUCCUCCCCGGUAUACCAACUUCUCAUGAAUUCUCAUUAGCCUGUACUCAGCGCUUCCUUCUUCCCUCUUAACUCCCAAUUUUGUACUUGGGUGUACCACCCAUUUUGUGCAUUUUGUAAACUCUACACAUUUUAAUACAUACAAGGAAGAAGCAUCUUGCUCCCUCUGUUUUCCAUCAAAAAAGGUUGGUAAAAUAGAUGGGGAUGCGGCUGAAGAGUCAGAGGAAAAGUGUUCAAAGAAACCAAAGCUCUAGCACAGAUGAAGCUGGGAAGGAAGAAUUCACUGAAAAGAAUUCUCCAAUGGUCCCUCCCGAUAAAGUGGUUGCAGAGUAUGCCAAAUCCAACCGAUCGUCCUGCAAGAAUUGCGGGAAGGCCAAAGCUGCAGGUUCUCUGAGGCUGCACUCUACAACCAAAGACCUUGGAGGGUUUGACCUCGUGAAAUUGUAUCACUUGGGCUGCUUUCUGACUCAGUCCCACCUGCUUACUGCUGUGGAGGGGAUAACUGGGCUUUCUUCUUUAAAAGUUGGACAAUUCCUCUCUCUUUCUUGAUUGGUUUAAAAAGAGUUCUCUUUGAUAUUCAUGUGAUUUUGUUAUUUUCUUACGAUUUAUAUUUUCUGGAGGGGCUCAGAGUGGGACCAAGAUGCAUUGAGGAAGCUAGAGGCUGCUGCUUCACCUAGCCGAACUGCCACGAAGGUCUGAUUUCUGCUCUCUAUUUCUAAUUGUUGACCAUCUCCUUGUAUUUUGAAGAACAUUUUGAUAUUAUUUGAUUUCAUUAAAAAUAAAGAUUCUAGUAUUUUUGAAUAUGAAUUAUCACCAUCCGAGAAAAAUGAAAGCUAUUUUUACUGAUAAGAGAUCAUAAACAUCUACAUUUACAUUUGAGAUUAACAUAAAUGGAGAUUCCGUAUUCAUUCGUGGUUUAGUAUAGAGAUGGAAAGGAAGAUCUUCGCCAACAGUUGAGAGAAAAGAAAGUAGGAGAAGGUGCAUGAUGUCACUUGAGGUGAUUUUCCAUAAAAACAUUUGGACUUUUAUGUUUGAAGGACUUUUAUGGUAAGAUAUUUGACAGCUAUUUUCUCUUAGGGGCCAAAUCUGAAGAUGAGUUUUGUUUUUGAAUUCAAAAAAAUAAAAGAAAAAAAGUUUUUUCCCAUCUUAGAUUAAGGUUGUUCAGUCAUCCUGUUAAUGGAUCAUAUCAUAUCUAAAAUGGUGAGGUUGUCAUGAAUUUGGUUAAAUAUCUGUGUCAGUGUUUAUGUACUAUAGCUUGUAACUUCUGUCUGAUAACCUAGUCCCAUGGACAUAGGCGUACAGCUAAAGCUGCUAAACCAUGUAAACACUUGUAUGGUUGUGCUUCCUUUGUCCUCUAAAAUAUGUGCUGCCCACUAAAGGAUGCGCUGUGUAAUGGUAAUUCCACUAAUUUUUGCUGUUUCAUUCUUUUGGGUUAGUAAAAGAGAUGGCAAUGCAAUUGAAAAGCAGGAGAAAAAGGAUUCAAGGGAACCAAAGGUUAACAUGUUCUACUGUUAAGAGCUAUAAUUUAGCUACGGUGCUUAUAUGGUCUUUGAUUUUUUUGCUGUAAUCCAUUUGUCCUUAUAGGUCUAUACUACAGAUGAAGCUGACAUGAUAAAUUUACAGAGAAGAGUUUAGAGGAGCCGAAUCUACGCCUUCAUAUGUCUUUACUUGGAUUAGUAAGAUAACCCCAUUUUCAAAUGUCAACUUACGUAAAUAUUUUGUUGAAUAAAAAUUACUUUGUUGGGUGGACCAGUCUGUCAAA